AACGAACGCUGGCGGCAUGCCUAACACAUGCAAGUCGAACGAGACCUUCGGGUCUAGUGGCGCACGGGUGCGUAACGCGUGGGAACCUGCCCUUAGGUUCGGAAUAACUCCCCGAAAGGGGUGCUAAUACCGGAUAAUGUCUUCGGACCAAAGAUUUAUCGCCUUUGGAUGGGCCCGCGUUGGAUUAGCUAGUUGGUAGGGUAAAAGCCUACCAAGGCGACGAUCCAUAGCUGGUCUGAGAGGAUGAUCAGCCACACUGGGACUGAGACACGGCCCAGACUCCUACGGGAGGCAGCAGUGGGGAAUAUUGGACAAUGGGUGAAAGCCUGAUCCAGCAAUGCCGCGUGAGUGAUGAAGGCCUUAGGGUUGUAAAGCUCUUUUACCCGGGAUGAUAAUGACAGUACCGGGAGAAUAAGCUCCGGCUAACUCCGUG
rnacentral:rRNA from 1 species